ACAUUUAUCAUUUAUAGACCUGGAGCGAGGGGGAUUCGGCAAAAUAUUACCCGAAGUGAUUAUAUUUCCCGAGGGGCUUUGCCCCGAGGGAAAUAUCAUCACUGAGGGUAAUAUUUCGCCGAAUCCCCCGAGCGGAGGGUCUAUAAAUGAUAUAUUAUACCGAAAAUUAAAAGCCUCCAAGUUGAGAAUUAAAAACUUGACACAUACCUUCCGACCUUCGUGAAUACGAUGUUUUAUUUUCGGAUUAACGCAAGUGUCGUCGCUUUUCUUUCGAAUCACAUAUCGUUUGGAAUAUUAAUGACAAAGCCCCGGGUUUUAGGUUUGAAAAAGCCCCAGGUUUUAGGUUUAAAAUUGAAUUAUUCAUCACUCAUUAAUACUAUUUAUGUUUUGUCGGCCAUCUUGUUGUCAUGCGUGUUGUCCCGCGUGGUGUACGCGAAUAAUGUUCCACCCCAUGUUCCCCGGGGAACAUGGGGUGGAACAUUGUCAAAAGGAACGCAGGCUCGCUAAUUGAUGACGUAAGGCGUGAUAUCGCGAUUAAUUUCAUGCUCACGUAGCACAAACUAAGUUUCCUGAUUGGACAAUUUGAAUUUGAGGUAUAAUAUUUGUAUAUAGCUACGUAAUUGGCGUCACCAAUUUUAACGAAAUUUGGGAUGCAGUUUUCACUGUUUAGUGCUUGAAAUAUUUACUAAAAUUGACUGGAAAUACUUAGAGAUUUCAUCGUAGAAUGGUGUAGUUACUAUAUAUUUAUUUGCUCUUUGACUAAAAUGUUUAGCUGUAUUAUUGCUAAACAUGCCGUUUUUGAGAAUUUGGUUUGCAACUAGGUUUCAACAUCCAACCACACCAUUAUCCCAUUGGCAUUGAAAACAUUAGGUCACGUCAGCUAGUGUCCUAUCCAUUUAUUUUAUUAUCCAUGGUAGUACUUUAAAUAGCUUGAAACUGCACAAGAUUGACGUCUAAGAACGUUAUUUUCUAUUGUUCAUUAUUUUCUACUGAAUACGGUUGAGUUGUCACUUCAUUUUGUUCAACAUCAGCCUAUAAAUAACAUUAUUUGUGUUAAGUUAAUGUCUCUGGUUAAAUUUCCUGGGUUAAAAUUAAAACCAAAAUAUAACCAGACUAUAUACUAUGUGGCUACACAACCAGAGCCCCUGGUUGUUUAUUGAUCCAUCCAGCUUUGUCUGGUCAAUUUAACGAAGAAGUCCUGGUAAACUUAACCAGACUACUAGUGGCAAAAACGUUUUGGGCGAAAAUGGGAG